rnacentral:rRNA from 1 species
GGGGGAAAAAUUAAUAAUUUUCAUUUUAAAUCAUAAAAAAAUUUUUAAAUAUAUUUAAUAGGGGUUAAAGUAUAUUUAUAGAAAAAAUUUUAAAAUUUAUAGGGGAUAGUAUUGUAAAAGAAUUUUGAAAUAAAUUUAAAUUAAAUUAUUAAAAAGUAGAUUUAAUUUAUUGUAUCUUGUGUAUCAGAGUUUAUUAAUAUAAGUUUUUAAAUAAAAAUUUCUCGAAUUUUAAAGAGUUAAUUAAUUAUAAAAGUUAAUGUAGAAUAAUUAUUUUAAAUAAUUAAUUGGAAAUGAAAUGUUAAUCGUUUUAAAAUAUAUCUAGUUUUUUUAGAAAAAAAUUUAAUUUUAAAUAUUCUUAAAAAUUUUUUUUUUAAAUAAAAAAUUUUAAUUUUAAUAUUAAAUAUUUUAAGGGAUAAGCUUUAAAAUAAAUAAUUUAUAAUUAAUUAAAUUUUAAAUUAAAAUUUUAGAAUUUAAAUUGUUAAAAAAUUAUAAUUUUUUAUAAAUAAUUUAAUUUAAUUUAAAAUUUAAUUAAAAAUUUAAUUUUUUAUAAAAAAAUAUAUUUUAAUUAAAUAAAAUUAGAUAUAAUGAUAAAAUUAUUAUAUAAUUUUUUUUUAUAUUAAGAUAAAUAUAAAAAUUUAUAAAAAAAUUAUUUAAAGGAAUUCGGCAAAAAUUUAUAUUCACUUGUUUAUCAAAAACAUGUCUUUUUGAAAAUAAUUUAAAGUCUAGUCUGCCCACUGAUAAUUAUUAAAGGGCUGCAGUAUUUUGACUGUACAAAGGUAGCAUAAUCAUUAGUCUCUUAAUUGGUGACUUGUAUGAAAGAUUGGAUGAAAUAUAGACUGUCUCUAAGUAAUUUAUAAAAUUUAAUUUUUUAGUUAAAAAGCUAAAAUAAAUUUAAAAGACGAGAAGACCCUAUAGAGUUUUAUAAUUUAUUUAAUUAUUAUUAAUUUAUAAAAUAUUAAAAUUAAAAUUAAAUAAAUUAUUUUAUUGGGGUGAUAGAAAAAUUGAAUUAACUUUUUUUAUAUAAAUACAUUAAUUUAUGAAUAUAUGAUCCAUUUUUAGUGAUUAAAAGAAAAAAUUACCUUAGGGAUAACAGCGUAAUUUUUUUUUUUAGUUCAAAUAGGAAAAAAAGUUUGCGACCUCGAUGUUGGAUUAAGAUAAAAUUUAAAUGCAAAAGUUUAAAAUUUUGAUCUGUUCGAUCAUUAAAAUCUUACAUGAUCUGAGUUCAAACCGGUGUGAGCCAGGUUGGUUUCUAUCUUUAAAGAAAAAUAAUAUUUUAGUACGAAAGGAUCAAAUAUUAAAAAUAAUUUUAUAGUGAAGAAUAUUAUUAAUAAAAUAGCUAU